GACGAACGCUGGCGGCGUGCUUAACACAUGCAAGUGGAGCGACGAACCAGGGCUUGCCCUGGGGCAGAGCCGCGAACGGGUGAGUAACACGUGGGUAACGUGCCCCGAUGACUGGGACAACCCGGGGAAACCCGGGCUAAUACCGGAUAUGCCCCCUCACGCGAGUGAGGUGUGUAAAGGAAGCUUCGGCUCCGCAUCGGGAUCGGCCCGCGGCCCAUUAGCUUGUUGGUGAGGUAACGGCUCACCAAGGCUGCGAUGGGUAGCUGGUCUGAGAGGACGAUCAGCCACAC
rnacentral:rRNA from 1 species